UACGUAGGGCGCAAGCGUUAUCCGGAAUUAUUGGGCGUAAAGAGCUCGUAGGCGGUUUGUCGCGUCUGCCGUGAAAGUCCGGGGCUCAACUCCAGAUCUGCGGUGGGUACGGGCAGACUAGAGUGAUGUAGGGGAGACUGGAAUUCCUGGUGUAGCGGUGAAAUGCGCAGAUAUCAGGAGGAACACCGAUGGCGAAGGCAGGUCUCUGGGCAUUAACUGACGCUGAGGCGCGAAGGCGUGGGGAGCGAACGGG
rnacentral:rRNA from 1 species